UACGUAGGUGGCAAGCGUUGUCCGGAUUUAUUGGGUUUAAAGGGUGCGUAGGCGGCCCUGUAAGUCAGUGCUGAAAUAUCCCGGCUUAACCGGGAGGGUGGCAUUGAUACUGCAGGGCUUGAGUGAAGUCGAGGUAGGCGGAAUUGACGGUGUAGCGAUGAAAUGCUUAGAUAUCGUCAGGAACACCGAUAGUGAAGACAGCUUACUAGGCUUAUACUGACGCUGAGGCACGAAAGUGUGGGGAUCAAACAGG
rnacentral:rRNA from 1 species